rnacentral:rRNA from 1 species
GACGUAGGGCGCGAGCGUUGUCCGGAUUUAUUGGGCGUAAAGAGCUCGUAGGCGGCUUGUCGCGUCGACCGUGAAAACUUGGGGCUCAACCCCAAGCCUGCGGUCGAUACGGGCAGGCUCGAGUUCGGUAGGGGAGACUGGAAUUCUGGUGUAGCGGUGAAAUGCGCAGAUAUCAGGAGGAACACCGGUGGCGAAGGCGGGUCUCUGGGCCGAUACUGACGCUGAGGAGCGAAAGCGUGGGGAGCGAACAGG